rnacentral:rRNA from 1 species
CAGGCCUAACACAUGCAAGUCGAGCGGCAGCGGAAAGUAGCUUGCUACUUUGCCGGCGAGCGGCGGACGGGUGAGUAAUGUCUGGGAAACUGCCUGAUGGAGGGGGAUAACUACUGGAAACGGUAGCUAAUACCGCAUAACGUCGCAAGACCAAAGAGGGGGACCUUCGGGCCUCUUGCCAUCAGAUGUGCCCAGAUGGGAUUAGCUAGUAGGUGGGGUAAUGGCUCACCUAGGCGACGAUCCCUAGCUGGUCUGAGGGGAUGACCAGCCACACUGGAACUGAGACACGGUCCAGACUCCUACGGGAGGCAGCAGUGGGGAAUAUUGCACAAUGGGCGCAAGCCUGAUGCAGCCAUGCCGCGUGUAUGAAGAAGGCCUUCGGGUUGUAAAGUACUUUCAGCGGGGAGGAAGGUGUUGAGGUUAAUAACCUCAGCAAUUGACGUUACCCGCAGAAGAAGCACCGGCUAACUCCGUGCCAGCAGCCGCGGUAAU